rnacentral:misc_RNA from 1 species
GAUGAAGAACGCAGCGAAAUGCGAUAAGUAAUGUGAAUUGCAGAAUUCAGUGAAUCAUCGAAUCUUUGAACGCACAUUGCGCCCCCUGGUAUUCCGGGGGGCAUGCCUGUCCGAGCGUCAUUACAACCCUCAAGCUCAGCUUGGUGUUGGGCCCCGCCGCCCCGGCGGGCCCUAAAGUCAGUGGCGGUGCCGUCCGGCUCCGAGCGUAGUAAUUCUUCUCGCUCUGGAGGUCCGGUCGUGUGCUCGCCUGCAACCCCCAAUUUUUUUCAGGUUGACCUCGGAUCAGGUAGGGAUACCCGCUGAACUUAAGCAUAUCAAUAAGCGGAGGA